UUAAAGACACAGCGCCCGCAAUGUGGGAGCGAGGAAGGCCACGCUCUCCGCCCGCACCAGCCAGUGCAUUGGGUGCCCGGGCUGCGCGCGUGUGUGCGGGCUUUGCACGGCCUGCUUGCACCUCCGGCUUCCCCUUUCUAGCUCCUCGUAGGGCAAAGAGUUAACAGCAGCGGCUGAGGAGGGAGAUCUUUUUUUUUUUAUUAAGGUUUAAAAAGCCAGGGACUCGGCUCCCCCCCGGUGCAUCUCCUCCACGCAGAGAUCGGCGCUGCUGGCUGAUGAAAGAGAAGGGUCAAGCAGGAGACAGAAAGUCCAAGGCAGGAAGAGUUGACCUUAAAGGACUCUGCUAAACUGGUUCUGCGCAUUCUCUGCUUGAUGUUGUUAUGAAGGUUUUCCCUCGGCUGGUUUCUGCUCUACCCUUUAAGAUGUCACAGGGGCAAAACAAAGACGGCAUCGGGGCAGGUUUUACAGCAGCUGUCCUGAGCAAGGAUGGAAGGCAUCUGCCUGGUUUAUCAGAGUAGCUGGUGCUCUCGAACUGGUCAGUAAUCAGCAGGCAGGAGAUCUGGUCUCUGCUGCAGGCAGUGCCUCUGGAUUCCAGCUCACAGAUGGUACAGACAUGGCCAGACACAGGCAUGGGUGAACCGGGCUGACACCCGGCGCUUGGACAGAACGUGGGCCCAAAAAUGCGCUAGGAUUUACUGGCUGAAGCUGCUGCUGUAUCAUAUGGGCUCAAAGCCCAGGGCACUGUGGCCCCUUAAUAGUGACUUUGCUGGAGUAAAGCAGCCAUAACAUAAAGGCACUGUGAAAGCCCCAUGUUGGACAUACACUGGACAUGGAGAAAGGGUCAGGAGACCAGCCCUGUGGCACCUCCAGGUGCAGGGGGCACCGCCAAGUGUUUUGGGAGG